AGUGAACGCUGGCGGUAGGCCUAACACAUGCAAGUCGAACGGCAGCACAUUAAUAUCUUGCUCUUACUGGUUGCGAGUUGCGGACGUGUUAGGUAUACAUCGGAUUCUACUUUUUCUUGGGGGAUUACGUAGGGAAACUUACGCUAAUACCUCAUACGACCUACUGGUUUAAUCAGUGGUUCUUCGCACCUUUCGCGUUUUAAUGAGCCGAUGUCGGUUUAGUUAGUUGGUGGGGUAAUGGCCCACCAAGGCGACGAUCCGUAGCUUGUAUGUGAGGAUGAUCAGCCAAACGAGAACUGAGACACGGUCAAGAGUCCUACGGGAGGCAGCAGUGGGGAAUAUUGGACAAUGGGCGCAAGCCUGAUCCAGCCAUACCGCGUGGGUGAAGAAGGCGUUCGGGUUGUAAAGCCCUUUUGUUGGGAAAGAAAAGCAGCAGGUUAAUACCCCGCUGUUCUGACGGUACCCAAAGAAUAAGCACCGGCUAACUUCGUG
rnacentral:rRNA from 1 species